CAGGCUGUUUAAAGAGCUG
rnacentral:piRNA from 1 species